rnacentral:rRNA from 1 species
CAGUAGCCACGGUAAUACGAAGGGGGCUAGCGUUGUUCGGACUUACUGGGCGUAAAGCGCACGUAGGCGGAUCGAUCAGUCAGGGGUGAAAUCCCAGAGCUCAACUCUGAAACUGCCUUUGAUACUGUCGAUCUGGAGUAUGGAAGAGGUGAGUGGAAUUCCGAGUGUAGAGGUGAAAUUCGUAGAUAUUCGGAGGAACACCAGUGGCGAAGGCGGCUCACUGGUCCAUUACUGACGCUGAGGUGCGAAAGCGUGGGGAGCAAACAGGAUUAGAGACCCCAGUAGUCCCUGUCUCUUAUAC